UCUCCCGGAGCCAGAGAAGAGUUUUGUGUCUCCCGGCUCUGGGCAUGCGCAGAUCGGGGGCGGGGCGGAGUGUGAUCAGCUGCUGGGUGUGUGACUGAGAUCAGGGCUCUUAUCGUACUGAGCGUGGCCCUGUUCUGCCAGGUGCUGAAGAGACCCCACGUGAGAUCAGACCCCCCUGUUGUGCCAGGCUACAGACUAACGUCCACGUUUGCUCCAGAUCAUCCCAUCCUCCCAGGGGGCAGGAAAUGGCUACAAUGGAGGUGGCUCAGG